rnacentral:rRNA from 1 species
UACGAAGGGGGCUAGCGUUGCUCGGAUUGACUGGGCGUAAAGGGCGCGUAGGCGGUUCGUACAGUCAGACGUGAAAUUCCUGGGCUCAACCUGGGGGCUGCGUUUGAUACGUGCGGGCUUGAGUUCGGAAGAGGGUCGUGGAAUUCCCAGUGUAGAGGUGAAAUUCGUAGAUAUUGGGAAGAACACCGGUGGCGAAGGCGGCGCUCUGGACCGAUACUGACGCUGAGGCGCGAAAGCGUGGGGAGCAAACAGG